CCUACGGGAGGCAGCAGUGAGGAAUAUUGGUCAAUGGCCGGAAGGCUGAACCAGCCAAGUCGCGUGAAGGAAGAAGGCUUUCGGGUUGUAAACUUCUUUUAUUGAGGACGAAACACAUGACGGUACUCCAUUAAUACGCCACGGCUAACUACGUGCCAGCAGCCGCGGUAAUACGUAGGUGGCAAGCGUUAUCCGGAUUUACUGGGUGUAAAGGGCGUGUAGGCGGGACUGCAAGUCAGAUGUGAAACCCAUGGGCUCAACCCAUGGCCUGCAUUUGAAACUGUAGUUCUUGAGUGAUGGAGAGGCAGGCGGAAUUCCGGGUGUAGCAGUGAAAUGCGUAGAUAUACGGAGGAACACCAGUGGCGAAGGCGGCCUGCUGGACAGUAACUGACGCUGAGGCGCGAAAGCGUGGGGAGCAAACAGGAUUAGAUACCCGGGUAGUC
rnacentral:rRNA from 1 species